CCUCGCGGUGCCUCCGCAGGCGCCGGACCCUCCCGCUGGAAGGCCGCGCGGCCCGGUCUGGUCCGCCCGCGGGGCAGGCGCCGGACGCAACUUGGAGAGCACCAGAUGCACACCAGGCUGCCGCUUCUCCGGGAGCUGCACAUUCAUGAAUCUCGAAAGUUCCUGGCUGAGGGGAGAAAAAUCGCAAGGAUCAGUAUGUGGAGUUGGCGUCGGACUUUCUAGGACUUUCUUCUAUUAGCCGCAGCGGACAGUUUCCCGGCUCCAGAUGUUCCACUCCACCUGAACGUCCCCCUUGGUCCCCACCCGCAGAGCCCUCAGCUCCCGCCUAAACCAAGGGAGGCGCGGGACCGGCAGCCUCGAGGGCCCGGUAGGUUUUACUUCAGCCACGAGGAGAGAGACACGUGACAAGCCUCCGCGCCGCUACCCCCCCGCCCCCCCCACUCGCCGUCCCGUUCCCGCCGUUGCUCCCCCCGCCAGUCUCCGCCGCGGUCUCCCCCCGCCACAGACCCACCCCGUUCUUCCCGCCCCCCCCCGCGCCGUCCCCGCCAACCCCAGCCACUCCCCCCGAACCCCGCACCGGCGCCCAGUGCAGAAGCCCACUUACCGCAUGGUGGUGCUGGGAUACUGGGUGUAGUUGAACACGUUCUCCAGAUGGCGCACCUGCAGCUGGGUGAACACGAUGCGGGGGCCCACCGGCUGCCUCCCUUCUGGAGCGGGAGCCAGAGCCGGAGCCUGAGCCGGAGCCGGAGCCGGAGCCGGAGCCGGAGCCGCGGCAGGGGGCUCGUGCUCCUCCUGCUUCGGCUCCACUAGCUCCAACUGCCGUGGGCUGCGGCCGCAGCCCACAUCGCGGGUUUCGCAGCCCGGGGGCCACGGAUAUCCAGCGCCCACGUUGCCGGCCCCUUCUCUGCCAUUGCUGUGGCCAUAACCAGCACCGUCGUCGCCGCUGUCUUCUUCCUCCUUGAUUCGUAUGCCUGCCGCCUGCUGCUCAGGUGCGAACUCGGCCCCGGCUUUCUCCGCCUCUCCGUUUCUGGGACCCUUCAUUUCUGGGACGUGGCGAAGACGCUGGUCCCGACGGGCACAGACCACGCAGCUCUUCCCGGUCCUCGUCGACUCCCAGGCUGGGGAAGCCCGUGACUUCGCGCUUGAAUUGGUUGAAAGGAUCCAUAGUAUCCCUCUGCCGUCCUGUGUGGAUCUGCGUCUGGAUCUGCUGGAUCGCUGGGUCACACGCGAAGCGGUGGCUACGCUGCCGUGCCGUCGAGUUCAGCUACCCAGCGUCCCGCUAGGCGCUUUAUAUAUACCACCCUGUAGUGGGGGUUGGGCUCGCCGAGGUGCGCAUGCGGCUGGGCUUGGGCACCAAGUGGGCGGGUACUCCUGCCAAGAGGGCUGGGGUGGGGAGCACUUGCUCUAAGGCAUCGGAGGGGACUAUGGGUAACCAGAGCUGGCGGCUUCGGUUGUAACUUAGCUCGUGUCCCCCAAACUGGCGGCAUGUCUCCCCCACUCCCGAGCAAGGGGCUGUGCUGCAUUGUGUUUGCCUAUUUGCGUAGGGUGAGAGACAGACCUCACCCUAGGUCUGGAGACCUGGCAGAAAAGUUGGGACAAUCUCUCUUGGGCCAGCCCCACCCCCACCCCCCAACCUCUGGACCUAGCAGCCGGUACAAAGCAGGGAAUAGUCAUCAAACGAAUGUGAUCAGCUCUGAGGUGGCGCACUCUGAGUUUUUUCAGCGAGAUGCUGAAGUUAGAGCCCGCCAAAUUCCCGGGUACCCGGGAACAGGAGCUGGGGCUGGGGCUUGGGGUUGGUGAUCGUGCCUGGUGCUCAGAUGCACUAUGCAAAUAAAACCACACGUGCCCCUUGGGAAAGUCCGGUGCCUCCAGAAUUUUAGUGAUGAAGCUACAUCUCGGUGCAGGGCUACAAACCUGCACAGUGCAUUCAAGGCUGCUUAAAGUGCACAAAGCUCCUGCUUUUUUUUUCUUGCAAUUUUUCUUUUUCAAAUAUUUGUUUCUUUGUCUCAUUGUAACCGCCUAUCCUGAAGCAUUCCUGCACAGCAGCUAUGCCUCUAGCUAUAGAUUUCUCUAUACAAGCAUGCAUAUCCCUGAAGGGUUGGGACCUUUGGGACGCGGGUAAUUUCCCGCCGCCAUUUCUCCCUUCCCUCAGCCUCUCGGUUUUUCUAGAAAGAUCUUCCUGAGCCCUCGCUGAGGGAAUAAAUGAAGUUUACUUCU